ACUUUCCUUGUCAUGGGGUGGUUUGGGAAGCUCAAUGAACGUGUAGUGAGAGCCUCCCUGCUGACACCAGACCAACACAACAGCAUCACCUGGACUUCCUGUUCAGGCUAUGAUGCAAUUUUUGGAACC